CUGUCGAUGGAUUCACCUGUCUGGACCUGAAGGCAUUACUAAUCGACCCGAGUACCUUCACACUCCUGCUGCGAAGAUGUUUUGUGUCGUGAGGUUGUGGAGUCCAAAUGUAAACCUACCCUAACGGCCUGUCUGGGAAUGUGUGAUCAGCAGUACAUAAAAGAGUCUUAUCCUACGGUGCAAUACCAUCAAGGAGGCGUCUGAUCGAUCCCAAAUUCAUUCUACAGCAUGACAACGAGCCCAAACAUAAAGCUAGAGUCACAAAUGAUCGUCAGCAACAAGAAGAACAAGGAGUCCUGCAACAGAUGGUGUGCCCCCAACAGAGCCCUUAUCUCAACAUCAUGGAGUCAGUCUGGGAUCACAUGAAGAGACAGAAGCAGCUGAGACGCCUAAAUCCACAGAA